CCAAUAGCGUAUAUUAAAGUUGUUGCAGUUAAAACGCUCGUAGUUGAAUUUCGGAAUCUGUCCAUCGGUCGGGCUUCACUGUUCGUACUGGUGUGGUGGGUUCUUACCUUCUGAAUAACCAGCAUGCCAUUCACUUGGUGCGUUGGGGAAGCAGGACUAUUACCUUGAAAAAAUUAGAGUGCUCCAAGCAGGCCAGUGCCUGAAUACAUUAGCAUGGAAUAAUAAAAUAGGACGGCAUGGUUCUAUUUUGUUGGUUUCUAGGAUCACCGUAAUGAUUAAUAGGGAUAGUUGGGGGCAUUAGUAUUCAAUUGUCAGAGGUGAAAUUCUUGGAUUUAUUGAAGACUAACUUCUGCGAAAGCAUUUGCCAAGGAUGUUUUCAUUAAUCAAGAACGAAAGUUAGGGGAUCGAAGACGAUCAGAUACCGUCGUAGUCUUAACCAUAAACUAUGCCGACUAGGGAUCGGACGAUGUUAAUUUUUUAAUGACUCGUUCGGCGCCUUACG
rnacentral:rRNA from 1 species